CGCUCGGGGUCACGGCGGGAAGGCCCCUCAGCGCCGCGUCCCCUCAGCCCCGCCGGGGCUGCUCCGCCCGCCCGUCCCGCCGGGCAGCCCUCGAAGCUCCAUCCCCCGGGAACAUCGGGCCGCGUCCCUUUGCCCUUCCACCCGCACACGCCAUCCCCAUUUAUUUAUUCCCGUUCCAGUUGUUCCCACAGGAAGCCCCUCCAGCGCCCUGCUGGUUCCCGCCAAGCGGCCGGCGCUGAGGGACCGCUCCCGUUCCCGAUGUGUGACCGGGCCCGCGGGCAGAGCGGGGCCAGGCAUCGUGAGGGCAGGCAGAGACCCCCGGGGCACUCCCGGAAAGGCUCCUUGCUGCUGGCAGUGACUCACUGCUUGUUUUCCACUGAUUUAUUUAUCUCGGGAAAGAACCGACAGCUCUGCUCAUCAUCUGCUCGCCACCCGAGGUGAGCUGCAAUUAAAAUAACUGGAAUUUCUAAUUUUAAUUGCAGAGAUGUGGUGGUCCCAGGCUUCCAUGUGGCGUUUUUGGUACCACGGAUCGCAGGAGAUCACAACUGUUAGCUAUGAAGUCCCACUCCAGCAUGUACUGAGCAAGAGCAACGCCUUGAAAAAUUCACAAUAAGAAAGACAGACCCUAAGGAAUGGGAUUUACCAAGACUCAAUUUUGGACCUGGGAAAAAGUGUUCUCAGUUGAAAGGCCUCCAAGCAAGCCUGGGCUGGUCACAGCAGAGCAACAGCUGCACGAGCUUAAAUUCCUCUCCCCACCCUGCUGUACAGGCCGUGCCCCUCAGUCCUGAGCCUGGAGAAGAGGAAUGUCCAGCUUUCCUGCUUCCCUGCCAGCUCCACUGGCAUUUCCUAUUCCACAGCCAAUUGCACGUUAGGCUCCCACACCAUGAAGUGCUUUUUCAUGUGGGCAGUGCUGGUGGAACUAAGGAUCCCUUGUGGUCAGAACCCCCUGCAGAUGUUCGUGACACUUUUUUCAUUCCGCUUUAUGCACCAUGUCAGGCGCUUGUGAUAAUUUACUGCCACAGGAACCUCUUCCUGCACGCUGCUCGCUGCGAGUCCUUCCGGACUGCUGCCAGGCACUGCCCAGGGAGAGGGAAAGACAAUGAGCAGGGGAAGGUGUCAGGAAGCACAGAGAGCCCUGUCCUGCAUCAGCAGCUCCCGGGAGAGACACAGGCAGAAAUGUAGCAACAACUGUGAGGGUUUAGUGGAAACUAAUUUCAGUUAGAAACUAGCUAUGGCCUGCCCUCUUGAAGGUUAAAACAACUAAAAUAUCUGGAAUAGGUAUUUUAAUUUAAAACUUACCUAAAAAAAAGAAAGGGAAAAAAAAGCUAAAGCAAGUUCAAAAAUAACUCAGAAUGUAGACAAAGAUAAGAGCAGAGCCUGCAGGAGUCAAGUCUGAACAAAGGGCAUGGGCAAUGAAAGGAGAAAACCACAAAUGGCAGGGGUUGAAAUGUAAAACCUACAGUUCACUGUGGAACAUGAAGGAUGCUGUUGUAUUCCACACCUCCUCUUCCAGGGUGUAGCUGUCUCCACAAGGUGAAGGGCACUAACGAAUCAAGCUCCUUCCCUCUUCCUGUAUUUUCUAUUCAAUUAUUCACAGGCUGUGCAAGUUCUGCUUUAUUUCCCCUCUCCAUAUGCCACACUCUCCUCCUGGUUUGUUUUUUUUUUUUUAAUUCUGAACUGUGCCUUUGGCCUCUCUCCCAUUCCUUUCUCCUCGGUGUGUGCCCCCCGCUCUGCCAGGAUCUGCUGUCUUUGUAACCUCUGCUGUGCACAUAUGCUGGCUUCUGCCGCCCCUCCUGCCCCCCCUGCUCCACCGAGUGUCCCUUCUCCUCGCUCCAGCGUUCUUGCCAGCGGCUGCGUGAGCCGGCCAGCCACGGAGCGCUUUUGCCAUGGCCGCCGCUGCCGUUUCCAUGCUGCCGGCUCCUCUCCAGCGAUCAAGGGGAAGCCGUGCUGCUCCCCUCGUUCAGCACAGGCAGAGACUGUGCAGCUGCUUAGCAACUGCGAGCUGCUGUAGCGCAGGGAGCCACGGACGGCUCAGCCUUCACCGACCCGCCGCCUUCGGGCCCACUCGGCUGCAACCCAGGGCUCGGGGGACCAGCUGGGGCACUCCCCACUGUC